rnacentral:rRNA from 1 species
AACGAACGCUGGCGGCAUGCCUAACACAUGCAAGUCGAACGAGACCUUCGGGUCUAGUGGCGCACGGGUGCGUAACGCGUGGGAACCUGCCCUUAGGUUCGGAAUAACUCCCCGAAAGGGGUGCUAAUACCGGAUAAUGUCUUCGGACCAAAGAUUUAUCGCCUUUGGAUGGGCCCGCGUUGGAUUAGCUAGUUGGUAGGGUAAAAGCCUACCAAGGCGUCGAUCCAUAGCUGGUCUGAGAGGAUGAUCAGCCACACUGGGACUGAGACACGGCCCAGACUCGUACGGGAGGCAGCAGUGGGGAAUAUUGGACAAUGGGCGAAAGCCUGAUCCAGCAAUGCCGCGUGAGUGAUGAAGGCCUUAGGGUUGUAAAGCUCUUUUACCCGGGAUGAUAAUGACAGUACCGGGAGAAUAAGCUCCGGCUAACUCCGUG